AUAAUCUUUUCAACAGACAGCUUAUUCCUCUUUGAACCCAAAGGAUGGGAAGGGAUAUCUGGCAGGUGAACUUCACCCACAUGCCAAAACCAAAGGGCAUCCCAAUACCUUCUGGUAUGGGUGGAUACUUUAAGGGCCUUUCUUUUCACAGUCUAUGUAAUUGGCACACCUAGUCAAACAAAUCCCCUGUAAAUUAAUCAUAACCUAUGUAAAUAAAUCACUGCCUCCUCAAGCCACUAUACAAAAUCAAUCACAUUCUGCCCCAGAUUGAAGACCCUGUCCUGGGCAGCACACUCUCUCAGAAUGACGAAGAUUUUUCUGUCUCUCUCUUCUUUCUAUUAAGCUUUCUGCUUCUAAACCCACUGCUUGUGUGUGUUUGUGUCCUGAAUUCUUUCUCGAUGCAAGACAAAGAACCACGGGUAGAUGCCCAGAGAACAAAGCUAUUUCAUUUGGGGGUUCUCACUUGGGAUCAGGAUCAGAACUGAAGAUACAAACAUCAGAUUGAUGGAUAACAGACCGUCUUCAGCUUGCACCACUCUGGAGUGCACUGUGAAACACUAGAAAUUCUUUAACCUCAGGACUUUGAAGAGAAAAGCAACUCAUUUUCUUUUGCACAAGCAGUCAAAUUUCAGGUAUCAAAUUCUGAAUACAUCACAUGCAAAUCAAAGCCUGAAGAGCUGAAGGUACAAGCCCUUGGAGGAACGUCCUGAAUAUAAAUGUGAAGAAAUAGAAGAUCUUAAGCUGAAAAUCAUAAAAAGAUAAGUAACUGAGUGAGGGUUAUGCACCUUGCUCAACCCCAUUCCUACCUCAUCUGAUACUUUUUGUCAUUUCUACCUUUCCUCUCAAAAUUUACCACCAAAUAUUAGCACUUCUUUUUAAUGCAUAUUU